rnacentral:rRNA from 1 species
GAUGAACGCUAGCGGCAGGCUUAACACAUGCAAGUCGAGGGGUAUUAUUAAAUUUAUUUGAUAAGAGACCGGCGUACGGGUGCGUAACGCGUAUGAAAUCUGCCUUAUACAGGGGUAUAGCCCGGAGAAAUCCGGAUUAAUCCCCCAUGAGAUUAAUGGGUGGCAUCAUUUAUUAAUCAAAGCUUCGGUGGUAUAAGAUGAUCAUGCGUCUUAUUAGUUAGUUGGUAUGGUAACGGCAUACCAAGGCAACGAUAAGUAGGGGUCCUGAGAGGGAGAUCCCCCACACUGGUACUGAGACACGGACCAGACUCCUACGGGAGGCAGCAGUGAGGAAUAUUGGACAAUGGGCGAGAGCCUGAUCCAGCCAUGCCGCGUGCAGGAUGACUGCCUUAUGGGUUGUAAACUGCUUUUCUGGAGGAAGAAUAAUAACGACUAGUCGUUAGAUGACGGUACUUCAGGAAUAAGCAUCGGCUAACUCCG